GAAGGAUCGGGAAUAAAUGAAAAGCAAGGAAGGAAAGGAAAAAGGGGAGAAGGGGGGAAGAACCUCUUCUUCUUCUUCCUCCCUCACUCACGGGAUCCCUUUCAAACUAUUUUCAUCAUAAUUUCCUCAUACGAUAACGAAUAACGUUCUUCCCUCGUGGGCUCUCCUCUAGCGAAUGUCUUGCAGUAGUGAACUGGUGAAUUACGAAUGGCUUGAUCCCUAUUUAGGGUACGUAGGCAGUCUAACAAGGAGGUUAGAUGCAGCCAUAAAGUAUACGAAAGAAAAAAAAAACUACGCAAUUCGAAUCUUGAGUUUUGUUUUGUCCAUAUCCCGGAGGUGGGGUAUGUGUGAUAUACGGGUAUUUGGUGCACGUGUCGAUUCCAGAAGUAUGUCAGGAUUGGGGCGUGACAUCAAUAAUGAAAGGAAGGAGUUGGACCUGAAAAGAAGAUGAAGCUCUUUGCAGGGCUUAUAGAUGAGUCUCGGAAGAUAGUGUCAAAGGGAGUUCUCAAACAAGUGAAGGUGUUUGGAAUCGUACAUCCAAAAAGUACUAUGAGUUCUCCAAAGGCACCACUGCACUGAAUAACCGAAACCUCGAGAGUUGUUUUCCAGGAUGGAAAAAACAUCUUCAUCCAAGUUUGAAUAAAUGACAUCAAGCAGUGGUAAAGGUCGGAAGUAGACAUGAAAGUGAAGCCAAUUACUACUACGAAGUCAGUGUUUUCACAAGUUAUUUUAAAUAUUUAAUUAUAUUAUAUUUAAUUUCAUAAAUUAUUUUCCUUUAAAUUUUGUAAUUAUAUUUUCUAGGCGAGGAAUUGUGUAUGGAGGACAACUUGAAACCCUUUAGUCAUCACGGUUGUUGGAAAAUUUGUAAAGGGUGGGUGUUAUUUCAA